CUUCUUUUUCUAGUUUCCUAUGGUGAAAGCUUUGAUUAUUGAUUUUAGAUCUCUUCUUCUAUUAUAAUAGAUGCAUUUAUGCUAUAAAUUUCCCUCUAGGCAUCACUUUUGCUACAUCCCACAAAUUUUGAUUUUGUUUUCAUUUUCAUUCUGAACUUUUUUGAUUCAUGUAAUCUGUAAUGUGCAUUUCCAUAUCAUCCUAAGUAGAUCUAUUUCACUUUAACUGGUAUGUAAUAUUACAUUGUAUGGAUGUUUCAUAUUUUACUUAUUUAGUACUAUUUUGUAAGAUACUUAAGUUGUUCUAAUUUUUAUUCUCAUUCAAACAAUGCUCAAUGAAAUAUAUGUGUAUAUCUUUGUAUAUUGCAGGUUUAUAUCAAUAAGAUAAAUUCCUAACGUUGGAAUUGCUUAGUCAACAGAUACAUAUAUUUUCCAACGUGAUAAAUAUUGUCUAAUUGUUUUCCAAAAAUGUUGUACCAGUUAAUACUCACGAUGAGCUUUCAAUAGGUCAUUGCCUCUGUAGGAGGAGAUCCACUCUCUUUUUGUAAUUGCAAAGCAUAGUCACCUUGCCUAAUUACAGCAGGAUGUUAUUUAUACCUGUAUGUUUUGCUAUAAACACAUUAACCUAGAGAUGUGGGAUCUAAACGUUAAUCUUAGGUGUUGAUAUGCUCUGAUGAGUAAGAAAUUGCUAAAAGCUAGAGACAAAAUGGGAGAAAUAACUUGAGGCUUGCUGCAACACAGGAACAGAAAAUAAAAAUCAAGAGAAAAAAAGUUGGGGGGCAUAAAGCAAAACAUAAAAGUAAACAAAAAAAGGGGGAAGGGGAGAGUGAAGACCAUGGAGAUUGUGGUUAAUCAACAACAGGACGUGAGAAGUUGGGGAGCUGACCAAUAUUCUUGACAUAAGAUUUUGAGAAAAAUAGAGCUUACAGGGUAGGCUUAAACCUAGGAAUCAUUCUUCAUAUUUACCCAAAGAGGACUAUGGCACUAGCAAGUAUUUGUUUUCUCAGGUACUAGUGAUUCAAAGAGAGGGAGCUAAAAAGGGGAAAAUUAAAAUCAAAAGCCUAACUUAUUUUAUGCAAGAGAUAGCUGAAUUCUAAAAUUUUUGUUUUGUUUUGUUUUGUUUUUUUACCCUCUCAUGGGCCUAGCCUUAGGAUUUCUUUCACCACAAAUCCUUUCAUAGAUGGGAUCCCUAUCUGCCAUAGCAGCUGCUACCUCUGAGAGACUUGAAGCGACCUCUACCUCACACAUGAGAGAAAAGACCCUUCUUUUUACUUCUUGGGGAAUGUAGUGAUUCAGGACUGUAGUGUUUCCUCUUGGAGUCUCUCCCUAGAGGUUUUCCUAUUGUUUUUGCUCUAAGCAGAGUCCCCACAUCCACACUCCCCCACCCCCUCCAUAGCACAAUCAAUAUUAACUCAUUCAUAACAGAGGAGCAGCCUCUUUUCCAAUCACAGUUCUGCUGACUUGUUUGGGAUUGGUUUGGGUUGAGUCACUAAGAAACAUAUUAGAUUAAGGCACUGGUCUUUUUAAUAAUAAUAUAGAAUCUCCACACCUCUCAAAUAGACCUCAAAUUUGGGAGCCAUUUAUUUUCAUUACCCUCUCUUCAUAGGAAAAAUUGAGGACCCCGUUUAUUUACUUAAAACAACAAUAAGCUGAAUCACUGUUGCUAUUUAACAUCUUACUUUUUAGAAAAUAUUCUUUGUGGUGCCUGACGGCAAUGCUGCAAAGGAAACAACCAGUUUAAAAAUAGGAAAGAUAAAUUAAAUAAUACCAAUUUACAAACAAAUUUAAAAUCGAAACAAUCCCCCAUACACACUCUUCUUGGUCAGCUCUGCCUCACCCUAAGAGAUCAGUAGGUAAACAACAUUCUGUUACCUCUGUUUGCACCCAUGGAUCAUCAGGUGAGAGGGCAGGUGUUUGGGAGUAGUUGGAGAGAGGGCUGAAACAAUAUUUUUGCACCAAAUAACUUGGUCUCUCCAGUUUGUAGUUAGUUUAUAAUGAGUUUGUGAUCCAUGGAUCUCACAGGCUGCUUCCUUGUAACUUAAUGAACCAUAAUGACAAUUCCAAAGGCUACAUUAAUUUCUUUUUAAAAUAAAAGAAGGAGGGUCUGCUGAGAGUGGAUGUUAGGAACUAAGCUAUUUCCAUUACCCUAUUUUAAGUAAAGCGCUAGCUAGAAGGCCCAUGUACCAGCUACUGCUAACUCCUAACUUCAGAAACUCAUUUGCAAUGAGCUUUCCAUACCUCUUUGGGUGGGAAAUGUACUAUUGCUUCUCUUCUUAGCGAGGCUAUCAAGAAACACACUUCAAAAAAUUCCCACAACACACAUAAUCAUUCUUUCAAAAUAGCAAUUUGGCUGUAGCAGCCUUCUUCCCAUUCAGCUAAGUGUGUGAAAGGUAAUGGAGACAGCUAAUGCCUUUUGGUUUUGCUGUGGGCAGGGGAAUCUUACCAUCAUAUGUAAUUAGUAAGAACUACCAGAAAACAGACAAUUGUUAUAGAAGUCACACUGAAAAUACUCUAACAAAUAGUCUAAGCAACAUUCAUUGAGCUCCUUUGGGGGUGGGGCAAGGGGGGUAAUUUUCUGGUGUUAAGAAUGUCAUAAGAUUGCCAAGGUAGUAAAUGACUGGGACUUUACAAAGGCCUUUGGAAGGAGAGGGGGCAAUCCCAUGAGAAAAUGACAGGUACUGUUUUAUUUCCAUGGUCCUUUUUUACCUGCCAGUUCUUACUUCUCAGUGAACACAACUGAUGUCCCCACUUUCCCCAACAACAACAAUGACAAUAAAAUAAAUUUUAAAAAGAUUCUCGGUAUGAGUCAUGAGCUUACCCACUGUGGACCAGGAAGUUCUCUUCAGGCUCUCACCUGCUAAACUAUGGCAGAAGUGAUUAUGCAAAGUUUUCAAAAACCCACAGCACAGCUCUCCUCCUGCUGGGCUAUGAAUGGAGACAAGGGACUGGUACUAGUGAGGGCCAUUCGGAAGAGGAAGUGGGUGAAGGCUCUGCCACUGGCCAAAAUCGGGUUGCACCUCUUCUCCCAUGCUCCCCAUACAAGCCCUGACAAUGACAUUCUCCUGGAAGCCCAUUUUCAUUGCUGCCUCCAGGCCUUUGCUCUCCUGUUUGUCUGGGACUACCUGAGAGCCCUUCUUCUAAACCCAUCCUAGUCUGAUUCGAACUCAUUUUUCAAGGACCUACCUCUUCCCAGUUUAUAGGCCAUUUUCUCUCAUUUCAGCCCACACUGCGCUCUCCUUUCUCUGAAUUCUUGCAGCACUUAUAAUCUCUAUAAUUAUAAUAACAACAAUAUUUUAGUUAUUUACGUAUCAAGUACUCACUACAUGUCAGGUGCUAUGCUAAGUAGUUUACGUAGUCCCUUAUUUAAUCUUCACAGCUAUCCCAACCUAUGUUACAUUUGAGGAAACCGUGGUUACGUGGUUAGUAAGUGGCAGGAUGGGAUUUGAACCCAGGUCCAUCACUGGUAAAGCCUGUGUCCUUCCCCAUGGUCCAUAUUUCAUUUUUUGGGCUACCUCACAAUAUACUUGCACUGCAUCCUUUUUGUAUAUUUUAUAUUUCAUUUUAUGUGCUUGUGCCUCAUGUUCACAACAGAAUUUAUGCCUCUAGUGAAUGGGGCUACUUAUUAGAUGUGUGUUUACUGCCCAUUUUGUCAAGCAUGGGAUCAAGCAUUUAGUAGGUGCCUAAUAUUUGUGACUGGAUAUAGCAUGAAUAGACAUGCAUCUUUCUUCGAAACUCUCAAAGGUCUUUAUAAGAACAAUCACACCAGACAGUGGUGCAUGGAGGAGGGGAGCAGUGUAGUGGUCGCGUGUGAAAAGGGUCCCUGAAUAGCCAAUAAACCAUCUUACUCCGGUUCACUGUGAUCCCCUUAACCCCUCAGUAAUAGGCAAGGCCAUGUGAAGCCUGGCACAGAUAGAGUAUCAGAGAAAUCCCAAGAGGUGCAGCAUCCUUGCCACAAAAGCAGUGUGGCUGUGGCAAUCAUUGUUCCUGAAGCUUCUCUGAGGAUCCAAGAUCACUUCAGCCAAUCAGCUCCAGGAUGGAAAGAACUUCAGGGUUUUACUGGGCUUCCUUGCCAAGCUUUAAAUAGCUUAGUUACAUCAUUGAGAACCAGUGCCAAAUGAAAGUCUUUCUGAUUGACCUGCUAUUAGGAGGCCACUGCAUUAUAAACCUUCAAAGCUUUAGCCAUAAAAUAAUUUCAAAUGCAGUGUCAAGAGAAGUGUUCCAAUAUGUAAUAAGUAAAACUUAGAAGACGUAUAAAAAUUAAAGAGUGGGUCAACUGGUUCAAAUGGCACACAAAUUUAAUGUGAGUGUCACAGUCUAAUGGAAAAAACAGCAUCUCAGGAUCCAAGGGGGUUCACAUCAAUUCCAGCUUUGCCCUUCAUAUAACCUCAGCCAUGUUACUUCAUCUUACUGUGCCUCAGUCUCCUCAGCUGCAUGACGAAGACUGCGAAUUCAUUGAUUCUCAAAUUACAUGCUAGAUAUUAUCUGAGGUUCACAUGAUGGCAUAAGCUUCCUUUCCCAAACCUCAUGUAAAUACGUACCAUAUGUUUCUAAAAAGUUCUCUGUAUACACACCUCUAUUGCAAAAGUAUAUCACUCCGCAAGUUCUGUCGAGGUAACAAGCCCCAUUUUAAAGAAAAAAGAAAGGGAGGGGAGAAUUACAUUCAGGGUCAGAGAAAAUAAGGCCAGAAACAUACAGAAACAGGUUCCAGAUAUGCAAUCUGCUGCUUAUCCAUGGAGCCAUGCUACUUUCCUUUAAGAAGAGAGCGCUUAAAAGAGUAAGGUUCUACCUCUAUUCUCAUCAAGGGGAGCAACACUUUUGUAAUGACUUAUAAAGUGACUUGAGAAAAAUACUUUCUUAUCACAAUUUCCAUGUAAAUUCAAAAUUACCAUAAUUUCCAUGCCAAUUCAAAAUUAGGAAAAUACUUAACACAUUUUCUUAACUGUACAAAUGCCAGGGGAACAGAGUCCAAGACUCACUGUAGAGGGAAAAAACCCAAGGUUCUCACAGAAUCUCCAUCCCCAGCCCACUUGGCCAGAGUUUUCUUUCUUUUUAAAUUCUUGUGUCUCUACCUCUCACAGGUCUCCUCUUCCUCUUUUCCUCUUGUCACACUAUCUGCUGUCUCUCCUGGCCACCUCUAGAAGCCAACACCCUCAUCCUUUACCCUUUCUUUGCUUGUUGCAUCUAACUUUUAAGGGGCUCAGAGGCAAGAGGCCAAAGCCUGUUAAAAUCAGAAAUAAAGCUACAAAACUGGAGAAGACCUGAGCUGCCUCCCUGAGAAAAGCACACAAGUGUGACAUCUGCUAGUUGCUAAGUCCUUGUCUGUCACAGACAGUGGUAGAGGUCUAUCUUUCAGAGUAAAGAAGCCUAGCUUGAUCUAGAAAGCAGCAUCAUUUGGGCUCUUGACUUUGGGAGAAGGAGUCCUUCUGAUAUGACACACUAGUUAAUUCCUAUUCCACAAAAACCAUAACUAUGGCACAGUUAAAGCACUAUAGCAGGCACAGGUAAUGAAUAGGGUCACUUUCCUGAGUGACAUCUCCACUAAGAUCUUUCAUCACAUCAGACAUCUGUGACCCAGCCAAGCAGCAGUUACGAGGUCAGUCCUAUAAGAGAAAUAAUAGGAGGUGGGGAUGGGCAUUUGAGCUUAGCAAAGUUGUAAUCUAAUCUUUCGGACUUUGGUCAUAAAUGGGACAAAGUCCUAAAGAGACCACACUGGGUGUUAGGGAAUAAAAUGGCACUUUCCUCAAAGAAACAGCUAGAAAGGAAGCAUCCCAAGCUAUAUCCCGAAAGGCUCUAACCUCUGGGACUAAAUUACAGUCAUCAGAACCUUUAUCUUACAAAUGAAUUGUUAAUUGUACUUACCCCACCAGGACCCUCAUUUGUAUCUGUUUCUCAACUUCACCCAUGAGCCUUCCAUACACUCCUUCCCACCCUGUGCUAGAUGCCUCUCCUCUGAUGCACAACACCCUAUCACACUCCUCCUGACUAACUCACACACACACACACACACACACACUGUACUAUAAUUGUAUGCUUUUCUUCAUCUGUAGGCUCCAGGUCCAUUAGGACAAAGCUUGCAUCUUUCAGCUCAUAACUUUAGCUCUUAGAAUUGUGCCUUGUACAUAGUACAUGUUCACUAUAUGUUUAAAUGAAUGAGUACAUGAACAAAAUGAAUGAAUCUUUGUAUCUUUUAUAAUAUAGUUCUCCUUCCACCAAAGCACUCAUCUUGGUACCUUCCCAUCAUGAGGCCAGGGUAAGGCUUUGUGACAUCACUCUAAGAUAAGACAAAAGCACAAGAAUAGGUUGUACUUAGCAGAGGCAAACAAAGCUGUCCUCGGGCAGGGUGUGACACAGGUUUCUUCUUGUCUUGAGGAUGAGUGAAGAAGCCCACAGCCACAUGGGUAUUUUCGCAGCUUCCCAUGGGGGAAAGGCUGACCCUGGAUAGAAUGGCAGGAGAAUUUAAUUUUAGGAUUUGGGAAGAAGGAAUUAUUGUUAAGUAUCUCAGAAGAAUCAAGAUUUGGGAGCAGGAAGUGAAGACUUAUCCAAAUUAAAGAUUGUGCUAAUUUAUUACAACCAUGUAUACUGAAAACAAGCAUGUUGGGGUAAGUGGACUGCUUCCUCCAUAGCAGAGUUAUGAUAGCUUGGGAAGAAAGAAUUAAGCCAUUAUAAAAAGUACAGCAACCUUCCUCCUUCCAGCCUGCCUGCACAAAGUGACCAUGCAGAACAAGCCAUACCUGUACACAAUCUCCAUUUCAAACACGUAUAAAAUCCUAUUUACACAUUUCUAAGCUUGUCUUUCUUGAGAACAACUGAUUCCACUACAAUCCUGGAGUCCUAAAACGUCUUAUGUAAUCCACUCCAACUUUUUCAAUUGACAGACGAAAAGCCCGAGGUCCAGAGAGAUAAAGUGACUUUCCCCAAAUUUUAGAGUUUUCUGUUCCUCUAAGGGCGUAAGGGUGUAAUAGGACAAAAAGUGAUAAUCUAUGUGACUUGGGAUUGGGAGACCAGUGUAAUGUAGUGUGUUUGGAUCCUGGCCAACUGUGUGAUCUUAAGCAAUUUUAUGUCUCUGAGCCUCAAUUUUCUUAUUUCUAACAACUGGUAUAAUAAUAGCACCAACUUCAAAGGUUUUUGUGGUGAUUAAAUGAGAGAACAUAUCUAAAGCAUUCAGCACAGUGUCUGGUACCUAGUAGGUAUCAACAAAAGGUAUCUAUAAUAGGUAUUGUUGUUAUUGGUAUUAUUACUGUGCUAAUAGCAUAAUGGGUGACAGAAUAAUGAAGUCAGGAGUCAAAAUAAAUUAUAAUAAUGAUUAUUAUUAUAAUAAUAAUAUGAUUAACAUUUCUUAAGUGUGUGCCUAGGUACUUUAAUGAUUGCUUCAACUACAUUAUCUCACUCAGUUCUCCCAAUUCUACAGAUAAGGAAACUUUCCCUUAGAGGAGCUUAAAAUUUUGCUCAACAGCUGAUAAGUGAUGACCCUAGGAUAUGAACCUAGGUUUCACAGACUCUAGAAUUUCUGCCAUUAUGCUGAAUUAAGGAUAACCAUUAAUAGAUUAAGGAAAAAUAAAGAAAAGGAAGAUGUUUAAUUCCAUGAGUGAGGUCCUUUACUCUUUUCCCAACUAAAACAGAUGAAAGCCUACAUUUUAGAGCAAGAUGGGCCAAUAUCAAUCACUUCACUUAACCAUGUCAGACUUUUAUGAUAAAUGUUACGGCUGAGUGUGAGGUCACUCAAUGUCAGCUCAAUAUCCCUUUAACAGGGAGCUAUAAGUCAAUCCUGCCAUCUUCAGAUUUAUCUCUGGUGUACAAUAAAACUGGUUGAUUUUCUAUUGAUUGAGCAUUUGAGAUACAAAAGCUUGAGAAUUGGCUGCUAUUUGUUUGAUGUGUUCCUGUGUCUGUCAAACUUGUAGGAGUGUUAUCUGCUGUUUGAAUGUGGCUUGAAGCUUCCCAAAUCUGGCUUCCAUAAUUGUUUGGGAAAUGUCAUUUGCUUGAAAAAUGGGGGUAAAUUGAGGGCCUGUCUUUUCCUAUUUGCAGAUAUUAAGAGAUUUUAUUUAUGCAAGCUGUUAACCAGGUUAACAUUGCCCACCCCAUCCCUAGGGAUGAAGUAGGAGUUCAGUGUGGGUGAGGCAUACUUCUUAAGGGUCCUCAAAGCCUCUGAAAAAGUUACAUCUUCAGUAGAAAGCCCACAUAUUGCAAAAUGUUGGAAGGACGGUGCCUUAAAUUGUGAAAUCUUCUGUGAGGGAUCUCAUUUUUCUGGAACUCCCUGACAUCUGAGCCCUCAUGUUGCUGGAAUGAUUCCAAGAGCACCAUAAAAUUAGGGCUGGUCCUGUCUGAACUGAGUCCAGAUCAUUUCAAAGUGACUCAAGGCAGGGAAAUAAAUAUUGAACCUAGUUAAAUGUUGCUUGAGAUUAUGCUUGGCACUGGGUGUCCAGUCACUGAUUUACUCUUAGGUUACAGGGGUUAUUUUGAGCCCAAAUGGAUGUGCCAGGGCGGAUUCAUUCAAUGGCAGCAAUUAUUUGCAAGCACAGUUGCAUUUCUGACAUGUUUAGCGGAAUGUAAUGUAGAGAUUUAUGUGAUGGUUUCAGGUGGGUGUAACAGACAUUAAAGUCCUCAGUUUCAUGCUACUUUACUCAACCCUGGAUCACAUUUGGCUUUUCCCCAUUCUUUUUCUCCUUUUCCUUAUCUUGCUUGAAAAAAACAAAAAACUGACGUUUUUUCUUUCUUUCUCUUUCUUUGUCUCUUUCUCUCAUUCUGCUUCUUUCUUUGUCUUUCCUUUCUCAUCCCUUUCCUUUCCUUUUAGACAAUAACUUAUAAGUUAUGAGUGAACAAUACGAAAUCAGAAUCAAAGAGGUUAAAAGAAAGAGUUGUAAUGAUAUUCAGCUCACCCCACUCCCACUCUAAACCACCCAAAAAAUAUGGGGGUAGCUACUUGGAAAAGAAAUGUUUUAAAUGGCCAGUUACAACUUUAAAGAAGAGAUUUUGAAGCACAGGUACCCAUGGUACACAUGGACUAUGUACAGCCAUACAAUUUAAGCCCUGUUGAGUUGGCCUGUGACAUGUUUCAUUUUAUGACUGAUGUCGGGUCUUGUACCUCAGUGCCACAAGAUGGAAGUCACAUGCAGUCCCAGUCCUCUGCCUCUCUUCCCUUCAGCAAGAGGAGGAUACUCCCUAGUGCCACAUUUGGUCUCACUGUUUGAUCUGAGGCUCUGGCUGCUGUCAAGUCCCAGCUGGGCAAGACACUGGAGCAGCAUUCUGGUAUAAGAGCAACCUUUGGGAUCACACAUACCCACAUGGGACUCCUGAUCUGCACUCUAUUAACUGUCAACCUUCAGCAAUUGACCUAAAACUCUCUGAGCUCAGUUUCCUUAUCUGUAAGAUGGAGAUGAUAAUAACUCCUACCUUGCAGUACUGUUGUGAAGAUUUAAUGGGGUAAUGCACAUAAAGUGCUUGGGUCAGCACCUGCCAUCAGCAACACUUACUACAUGGUAGACAGCAGAACAAUUCCUCAAAUGUCAAACCACCUCUCUUUCUGAUAGGCCUGCAGACUCUGGCCACAGAUGUGACCCUAGCCUCAAACCUCUAAAGACCUGGCCACAGAGAUCAGGUGGCUCAAAAUCUUGGCAGAGGUGGACAACGGGGGGCAGGUCAGAGGUCCAACGUGGCAAUCAGGCAGGAACCAUCUUCCCAAGACACACCCCCACUUCUUGGGUUACACUGCCUAUGCUCGGUCUCCGACCCGUUUCUACAUUGGCCUGGCAAGGUGCAGGGCCCUGCCAAACACAAUGCCAAGCACAGGCUUUAUUAACUUGCCUAUAUCUUGAGAAAAUAGACACAAAACAACAGAGUAUACAUUAAAUCCUGUUAGGAGAAAAAUCAAUAAGAAAUAUCUGUUUAACAAAGCCCCAUACUUAGACCAUUUUCUUUCAAGAACUAUUUGAUCACACUUAAGAUCAGAAGCCAUAAUUUUCACAUAUGUAAGACUGUAUAGUUCCCAAAGCCGUUCCCCAUACCUUAUCUUAUUUGAGCCUUCCCAAUACCUUUCAAGGUAAGUAUUAUCUCCACUUUACAGAUAAGAAGCUGAUGUUCAGAAAGUUUUAAGUCAAAUCCAAGGUCAUUCAGCUAAUACCUGUUUGAGUUAUUUCUUGAUCCGAGAUCUUCUGACCCCAGCAUUCCCAGCACUACACUGUUCACCUUUUUCUACCCACUGAGUACUGGUCACCAAAACCCCUACUACCCUCACAUCCCAACACUCACCUAUGCUAUCUGGCUUUGAUUAGAAACCUGACCAAGGUAUAGGCUCUGAAAAGACACACAAGUUAAACGAGGCAUGAAAAAAUUAUCUGGUUUAAAAUAUGAUCAUGAAUAUACACCAUAUACAAAAGAACUUAAUGGAAAGAAACAGAGCCCAAGAAUUUCAGGGGGACUCUUCACUCUUCCAGCUUUAAGAAGCAAACUGGACCUGAUGGGUGAUGUACUUUGUGAGCCAGUUAAUAUAAAUAUCAUGAUAAUUUUAAUGAUAAUACAGCCCAUAGACCUCAGGGAGAAAGUAGUAUUCUCACCAAAGGUACAAAUGGAUGGGGAUUUUAUGAACGAAGGAAGAUCACUUCCUCUACACAGACUCUAUGCUCCCAGCUAUAGUGAUUUAUUUCUGCCCCUUCCAACCCAACAUUUCCUGAGAAUCCCCAUGGCCCCUGUCUUUGCUAGGUGGGGAAGAAAGACCUGAUCUUGUCACAGGAGUAGUGCUGGUGAGGAGAGGACAACAGACCUAGUGAUGUUUCUUUCACCCUCCCCAAUUCCCACCACCUAGAAAAUGAAGACUGACAACUAUUAAUGACUCCUGGUAACCACGUAUGGAUUAUUCAUGAGAUAAAGCAUGAUUUAAACCAUAGCUAUGAGAUGAUCGUUUCAUGUCCCACAUAGCCCUUCCCCAGCCAGGCCUGAAGCUAUAGGGAUGGAGGUGGGUGUUUGGGAUGAACCAGGGCUGCCACACAAAACAUCCAAAGAAACCAACUUCUUGACUGCGGGGAGCACAGGCAGAGCUGAUUGGACAUCAGCUACUCUGAGGAACACAGGAGAUUGCCUAUUUUUUAGGAAAUGUUCCAAAAAAUUGUUUCCCCUCCUCUUUAGCCCAGAGUGAAGGAGGGUGUUUCCCAUGCAGACAGUGCAACCUGCCCCGGCCCCUCACCACAGUGAGAGAAGACUCAGCAGCACAUGCUCACCGAGCUAACUGAACCGAUGGUGCUCUCCGUAGUGGCCACAGACUACAGCUGAGGUCAACUGAUGCAUGCCCAACGACGUCUGCAGAUCCCAAGAUAUGAUUUCAUUAAUUGCCAUGGAUAAAUCAGUUGGGCAUUUGCUGGCAGUGUUUAAAAUGCCACGAUGGGUCAGAUUAGAAAGCUGCUAGUACUGUAAGUCCAAAAGUGACCCAAGGAGGGUUCUUGGCUUCUGCCAAGGGUAAGAUCCCACAGCUGCUUGAGUUGACUCCACCUGAACAAAGUGAGGCCUCUGCCAUCAGGCCCAUCAUUCCAUCUAGAUAGGUAUGGCCUCCUGCCACCACCGGGACACACAUCUGUGAUACAACCAGAGACAACAAAGGUACCCUGGGCUGGAGGCAGGGCAGGGGUAAUUGCAGUAUCAGAACCUACUUCCCAGGAUUCUUGACAAAGUUCUCCCCAACAGGUGCUUCUCCUCUCUGGAGUAGUGUAAUGAUGAAAGACACGUAUUAGAAGUUGAACUACCAAGGUUUGAAUCCCAGCUCUGCCCACCAACUAUGUAAUCAUGAGAAAGUCACUUAACCUCUCUGAAUCUCAGCUUCCUCCUCUGCAAAAGGGAAGAAUAAAGCUCCUAUAUAGUCCCAUAAAAUUGGUGUAAGGAUUAAAAGACAUGAUUGGUGUGAAGAGUUAGAACAGUGAGUCAACAUGAAGUCAUGUUCCAUAUUAUUUUUCCUUUAGGGUCCUCCGUCUUCCCCUUUCCCUGGAGACCCAUCCUAUCUGCCCUAGUGGGGCAGUGCCUUGUUCUCUGGGAUGCUCCUCUCUUUACUCUGAAAGAGAUCAAAUAACCAGUCCACACAAAGCUUAAUAUGUUGUUCAAUAGGAGGGUGGAACUUUAGAUGCAAGGAGCAAACUCCUAGAGGGAAAUUUCCAGUUUUAUUGGUCUGCAGAUAGAAAAGGGUUAUUUGCAUCAUGUAGGAGAGUAUUGAAUAGGAGGUGAGGAAGUAGGCCAAGGCCUCAUAAUCUGGACAUCGAUUUCAGGAUAAGAAGUGCAUAUAUAAGAGGUUUCAUAGGUAGAGUCGAGAGCAAGCAUAGUAGAAAUGACACUACAAAGAUUUUAAGAAAAAAUAGGAUUGAAGGGGAGCCAGUGUUGCCAGAUGGAGGCCAUCAUGUGGAGAUCCUGCUUGGAGCACUCACUAGCCCAGAGCCACCAUGCCAUGGGAUGGACCUGCAGCCUCUGGAGGCCUUGAUAAGGGAUGGCUGAGCUGAGCUGAGUGUUCACUUCCCUGUGCUUUUUACAUUUCCUAAGGUAUAGGCAACCAGGAGAUGCCUUAUUCUCUACAAUUUUCUGGGACCAACAUAGCCACAUCUGUUAUCCCUUUGUCCUUCCUCACCUUCCUUGCAACUCUUCAUACACAUUCACACACACACACACCUUUCCAGGUCUGAGAAAAAGGUAAUAGACAAAACACAAACUCUAAGAAUCAAAUGCAGACAUGUGAAGCUGGCCAGGUGCAAUCAUACAUGCCCUCGGGUAAGGCAUGAUUCAUCACCAAAGUCCCCAACUCCUCUGCUCUCUGAAAACACUCUGCCUUCUUGCAGAUGGAUGGUGACAGUCCCACUCCUUUCUACCUCAUACUGAGACCAGCUUGAGCAUGUGGCUGGCCAUGCAGCCUUGAAAAGGACAAAUGACCCGAAGGGACUAAAGUAGAAUGGGGAAAGCCAGGCACUCCAAAGCUGCAACAUCACCCUCUGGCAGUUAUAAUUGCUCCCCUGCAGUGAGGGAAUGUCCCUGCCCACUACUCAUCGACCAGGUAGCUCCUGGAGGGCUCAAGUUCCUGGUGGAAGGGGCUUGGCCUGUUUCAACUAACUUCAAGCAGCACAAAGCCCAGCCCAUCUCUCUGUAGCUCUGGGCAUUUAACAAAUGCUUUUAAUGAUGAUGAUGCAAUCCUUUCAGCUUAGGUCUAUCAGGGUCCCCUGAGAAACAUAUAUUAUCUGAAGCUUUCCCUUUUGCUUAAUUACAUUGUGCUAAUGUUCUUUUUCCACUAGAUUUCUCCUCCCCCAACUCUCCCAUCCAAAUCCUGCUUCACUGUGGGUUGGAUUUACAUAAAAGGCCAGCACGUUAUAAUUGUGAUGAUUGAUCACCAAAGUUUCCUUGGGUUCAGAUUGUUUCCUAAUGUGGGUCAUUUUUCAUCAUGAAGAGUUGGCUGAUAAUGAUGUCAUUUCCAUUGCUUGAAUUUUGAGGCAGUGGCCACAUAUCACAGAGUUUAAAUGACUGUCUAUAGGGCAGCAAAAUCAUGUCGUUAUCAGUUUAAAGCAGUUGCUGCUUUACUCCUGGGGACAAAACAAGAAUUGGAGCCUCCUAAAACUCAUCAAACAAGAGCAGGAUGCCAAGAAUACAAAUCUGUAUCUGGGCCUGGGAAAGGGGGAGCAGGAAGGAGGGGUGGUGGUGAAGCAAACCUGUUUUUGCAUGAGGCUGUGUGGUAAGUAUCAGAUAAAAAUGACAAAGUCAUACUUGACAGAAAAUAAGCUGUACUGCUGAUCACUGGAUACCUUAGAUGUGUUCACCCACAAUCCUUUAACUGUGAUUUCACAGGAAGAUUAACGAGCAAGAAUUGAAAUCAUUCACGAAGAGAAGCUUUGGACUAAAACCCAUCUGCCAGAUAAGCCAAUAAAUGUCCCUCUCAUCAAGUGAUUGGGACUGGGAUGGAGCUGGAAUUUGGCCCUAAUGUUGCAUGUGUAAAGAAGAUGGAGAUAUGUCAAGAAGACACAGGAUUCUUCUUGAAAGGAUUCCCACUGGGAAAACUGGGAUAAUUUAAACAUCAAAAUGACAAAUGACAGAAGUGGUUAUAACAUAUUAGAGGGAACAAAUAUAUUUUCUGAUAUUUUGAAAAAUCAAGGUGGGAAGAAGAAUGGAACACUCCUCUUUAGAGAAGAAUACCAACUAAUAAAUGAGUAGGAAAUUUAGAAAUAGAAAAUUGUCAUUUUGUAACCAUCAUAAUGAUAAUUAAUUCAGGCAGGGGCCAUGAUAUCCCAGUCCACAUUUGUACCUUUCUUUUUCCACAGUGAGAAUCCAGGUUCCCAACAACCUUGUUAUGUUUACCCAUUUGCCUGGUCCUGCAGUACACACUAUCAACAAUUUAUUAAGUGGAGUUCAAGAUUUCCAUACCGUUUCAUUUUUAUUCUUAGAAAAUGUUAUGUUGGGUUGUACAAUCAGCAUACUUUGUUCGAAAGUGACUUGAGUACUUUUUCUAAUCUGUGAUUUUUAUCUAUUUCAUGUAAUUUUGGGUUUUUUCUGCUUGAAUUCAAUUUUCAUCUUUUUUCCAUUUCUUAAUUCUAUUUUUUGGAAAUGUAAACCUUUAACACACUUUGAAACACAAAACCAAAUCAAAAGGGAUCCCCAGAGAAAUUCCAUCUUCUUCCCUAUGACUUGCAUUUGGUUCUCACUGAU
rnacentral:lncRNA from 1 species